GACGUAGGGAGCGAGCGUUGUCCGGAUUCAUUGGGCGUAAAGAGCGCGUAGGCGGCCGUGCAAGUCGGUUGUGAAAUCCCGGGGCUCAACCCCGGGACUGCGUCCGAUACUGCACGGCUCGAGGCAGGUAGGGGGAAGAGGUAGGAACUUCCCGGUGUAGCGGUGAAAUGCGCAGAUAUCGGGAGGAACACCGGUGGCGAAGGCGGCUCUCUGGACCUGUCCUGACGCUGAGGCGCGAAAGCUAGGGGAGCGAACAGG
rnacentral:rRNA from 1 species